ACUACGGGUGGCAGCAGUGAGGAAUAUUGGUCAAUGGGCGCGAGCCUGAACCAGCCAAGUAGCGUGAAGGAUGACUGCCCUACGGGUUGUAAACUUCUUUUAUAAAGGAAUACAGUGAGGCAAGGGUGCCUUUUUGUAUGUACUUUAUGAAUAAGGAUCGGCUAACCCCGGGACAGCAGCCGCGGGACUACAGAGGAUCCGAGCGUUCUCCGGGUUUAUUGGGUUUAAAGUGAGCGUAGAAGGGUUGUUAAGUCAGUGGUGAAAGUAUGCGGAUUAACCGUAAGAUUGCAAUUGAUACUGGCAGACUUGAGGUCAGUAGAGGUAAGCGGAAUUCGUGGUGUAGCGGUGAAAUGCUUAGAUAUAACGAAGAACUCCGAUUGCGAAGGCAGCUUACUAAACUGCCACUGACAUUGAUGCUCGAAAGUGUGGGUAUCAAACAGGAUUAGAUACCCCAGUAGUC
rnacentral:rRNA from 1 species